AAGGAGCCCGUUCAAAAAGGAGCAUGUGUUUGCAACUGAAAUUGGUGCUCCUCAUGGCAUUAUUCAACAAGGAUCAAUAUCAGUAUAUUUCAAAGAGGAGAUGAUGUCAUCUUAUGCUAAUAUUCUACAUCCGCAGAUCAUUCAGGGCAUCAUUGACAUCGCAGACUGCGGCAACAUAAAGGAGUCUGGUUUGCAAAAUGUUUAGGAAGCAAUAACAUAAAAUGUGUUGAAGUUUCUAUCUGGAUCCAGACUAUCAUCUCUUUUCGUGGUUAGUGAUCGGGACACCUCUUCAAAACUAGGACCAGUAGCGAAACAGAACAUGGGCAUAAUGAGCAAGGAUGAUAGAACUCAAAAGAAAAG